rnacentral:rRNA from 1 species
AUACGGAGGGUGCGAGCGUUGUUCGGAAUUAUUGGGCGUAAAGCGCGUGUAGGCGGUUUGCUCAGUCUGAUGUGAAAGCCCCGGGCUCAACUGGGAAGUGCAUUGGAUACUGGCAGACUUGAAUACGGGAGAGGGCAGUGGAAUUCCUGGUGUAGGAGUGAAAUCCGUAGAUAUUGGGAGGAACACCGGUGGCGAAGGCGGCUGCCUGGACCGAUACUGACGCUGAGACGCGAAAGCGUGGGGAGC